UGGCACUAUGAAAGGAGGAAUUGUGCCACCAUUUUGCUAAUGAUAACCAACUAGCCCAAGUAGAUAGCUAUAAAUGGACCAGGCACCUCAAAUGUCCUUCUAAACGUUGAUUCACCCUCUCAUUUUGACCAUCCGACUGAGGGUGAUAAACUGAACUAAAAGCAAGAUUCACUCCCAUUUUCUUGAAUAAUUCUUGACAAAAAUUACUAGUAAAAAUUCUGUCCCUACCCGAAACAG
rnacentral:misc_RNA from 1 species